ensembl:lncRNA
AAACAAACUACAAGCAACAAUUAGAUAAUAUUUGUCAAUAAUAAUUAACAAAUAAACGUGUGAUUGAUAUACAAACAAACAAACCAACAAACAAACAAAUAAAUGUUUGUUUCAUGUAGAGCGCUACAGGUAGAGGGCGCUGGAGAGCACCCUCAGGGCCAGCCAGAGCCCUCGCAGAGAGCAGAGCACAGACACACCGAGCAGUAUCAAAAACUACUGCGGGAGUCCAGCAAGAGUCACAUCACACUCGCUGAAGUCCGAUCCAACACGUCCAGAAACGGGAACGCCAGAGUCUGCAUAUGCCUGGAUAUUUGCCCUGCACGACCGCUCGGCUCCGGUGUGCCAUCUAACGCAGGACUUUGGAUAUUAUUACGGAUCGUAAGAGCAGGUUUGUUUUCUCCGCAGUGGGAAGAGGCUCGAUCCACCCCCGAGUCUGAUGUUUGAGAGGGAAGCAAUGCAGCGCUGUGACUCUACACCAUAUUCCUGCUUCAGUCCAAAUUUCAUCUGAAUCUGCAGACGCACUCCACUGAUCCAUCGCAAAUCGACCGCUCUUCAUUUAUCUUAUCCUUUCUGAAAAGAAAUCUCACCCGAGAUUGCAACUGGCGCCAUUUUAAAGCGAUAAAAACGCAGUUUGCUUGAGUUUGAGGGAUUGUAAAGUGCUUGUCAUAAUCUAGUGGAUGGAUUUACUCUCGUAGACUUCAGCAGCAGCAGCAGCAGCAGCUUCAGAAAUGGGAUCUCAACAAAUUGAGAGCACGGUUGUUUGGCAAGGCUAUUUGUGAGUCUACCUCAAGCCUGCUCACUGUUCAUGGCCUUAAAAGGGACUGGGACAGAGAGGAAUCCUCUUGACACCCGACUACAGAUUGUGUCAGUUCAAAAAAAGGCCUUAGUGCACAGGCUUUGAAAGAAGCCAAGAACAUACAUCUCACUUCUUAACAAUAUAUACUGUCAUAUUAAAACCAGCAAUCAACAGUAAGGUUUUUCUUUUUUUAGGAGUUUAGUUUUUAAGCUAUAAAAAUAUAUGAGAUUCAGUGACAUCACAACACUGGCCUGACAGGGCAAUUGGCAGUUCUUUCAUCCGGAACCCAGGUCAGCUGAUUAUCCUUUCUGUUAAGCCCUGAUUACAGUUUCAUUGUGAACUUUUCAGUAACUUAUUAAAGCGCCAGGCAUUUGAUUGAAUUUUUUUGCAUUAUGUCAUCAUUAACCCAGUUGAGCUGAUUUUGUUGAGCUGAUUUAGAUGAAUUUGUUCAGAUAAUUGCCCCCUGAUGCUCUGAUCAUCUUAAUUGAGAUGCAUCAGAAAAGAGGGCAGAUCAGUAUGUAAAGCCCCUUGAGUAUGAAC